GGGGGCGGGCUGGCGCCGGCGUUGGUCUGUCAAACCGCACGCUGCGAGUUCGAUUCUCGCCACCUCCA
rnacentral:tRNA from 1 species